rnacentral:rRNA from 1 species
GACAGAGGGUGCAAACGUUGUUCGGAAUUACUGGGCGUAAAGCGCGUGUAGGCUGCUCGGAAAGUCGGAUGUGAAAGCCCUGGGCUCAACCUAGGAAGUGCAUUCGAAACUUCCGAGCUGGAGUACUGGAGAGGAAGGCGGAAUUCUCGGUGUAGAGGUGAAAUUCGUAGAUAUCGAGAGGAACACCGGUGGCGAAGGCGGCCUUCUGGACAGUUACUGACGCUGAGGAGCGAAAGCAUGGGGAGCGAACAGG